rnacentral:rRNA from 1 species
UGCUUCAUGGCGAGAUGUUGAAAGACGGUUUCGGCUGUCACUACAAGAUGGGCCCGCGGCGCAUUAGCUAGUUGGUAGGGUAAUGGCCUACCAAGGCGACGAUGCGUAGCCGACCUGAGAGGGUGAUCGGCCACACUGGGACUGAGACACGGCCCAGACUCCUACGGGAGGCAGCAGUAGGGAAUCUUCCACAAUGGACGAAAGUCUGAUGGAGCAACGCCGCGUGAGUGAAGAAGGUUUUCGGAUCGUAAAACUCUGUUGUAAGGGAAGAACACGUACGAGAGUAACUGCUCGUACCUUGACGGUACCUUAUUAGAAAGCCACGGCUAACUACGUG